AAAAAUCUUAUUUCAAACUGAUGGAUUUUCGGCCACUAGUGGGCAGAAAAAACAUGAAAACAAUAUGAUGAAAGGAAGAUGGCCGUCACCUGUUACCACCUGGCUGAUUGACAUGUUUAUGGUCAUAUCUCUACCUGUCUGUUAUUUAGGGUAACGUGUUAGCAAACAAGCCUGACACUGAAUCACACAAACAUUUGUUGGAGUUGGAGUCAUGUUUCUGGAGACCUGAUGAAUUGUGAAAGGUGUUAGGUCCGGUGGGGAGCUGAAGGGCCCAGAGAAGAAGCCCCCGUGGACCGUUCAAGAGAAACCAUACCAGGGGCAGACGAUUCACAUCUGCUGCAAUGUGACCGCAGAAUCCAUUGUGAAAAUUAGUAUCAACAUGGACGGAGCUGCAGAGAAGUGGAGCACUGAGGGAGGACCAGCAAGAAGACAAACACAAAGUCCACAAA